rnacentral:piRNA from 1 species
UCACAUGUAAUCCCGGGAGGC